UGAGAUCCUGCUGGAUCCCACCUCUGAACGAGAUCCACCAGACCACGGCCACACAGCCCGGAAAACCCACCAGAACCACUUCCUCCCUCUUUUUCUGCAAUGCCAUUUUGAGCCCAUUUGGGUCUC